UACGUAGGUGGCAAGCGUUGUCCGGAUUUAUUGGGUUUAAAGGGUGCGUAGGUGGUCUAUUAAGUCAGUGCUGAAAUAUCCCGGCUUAACCGGGAGGGUGGCAUUGAUACUGAUGGACUUGAGUGGAGUUGAGGUAGGCGGAAUUGACGGUGUAGCGGUGAAAUGCUUAGAUAUGACAUAGAACACCAAUUGCGAAGGCAGCUUACUACAGGAAUAUUGACACUGAUGCACGAAAGCGUGGGGAUCAAACAGG
rnacentral:rRNA from 1 species